rnacentral:lncRNA from 1 species
AAGAAAUAAGUCCAGCCCAUUUGUCCAGUUUUUGCACCUCCUCGUCCUAUUUCUACAAGAGAAACCAAGGCAAACACUAAGGCUCUGGUCAUGAGAAGGUGAAAGCAAGGUGAUAAUGAAAAAUCCAAGCCCAUUUGUUAUCAGGAUUGAGGCACCCUGUAUAGCUUCAUUAGUCUUUUUUUUUCCCUUCAAGUAAAUAUUUGAUAGGUUUGAGGACACUAAUUCUAGGUUUUUUAGGAGUCUUAGUUUCUAGCUAUAAAUACUAGUUGUAGGAGAGCGGAAUGAGAACAAAUUGCUGGG